UGUAGUCAUGUGUCUUACAUAUGACUGAUAAUAUGUGUAUGAAUGAAUGUCUUAAGUCAAUGUGAUUCUGUUUUCAUAUUAAUACUUGAACCUUAUAGUAUUAUCAUUUAAUUUAGCAUUGAGUUUGAUCUUUGAGAAUUGAAGUUGUAUUGAUACGAUCGAUAUACAUGUGUGACCUGUUUAUAGGUCAGGUUUUGAUUCUGAGGAAAAGAAUUCUCCGGUGUCAAAGAGGACAUCAAGAAACCAAGAUUCCAGUUAACUGGUGGCGAGCUACUCUACGAUCUUUCAGAAGAGAUUGGACUUUCACGUUCUUCACUCCACAGUGUGGUGGAUCCCUUCCACACUUUAUUCAGAGUCGAGGGUCUCUCCCUCCUCGGAGACGAGCAGAUAAAGCCAGUGAAUCCAGUGCUGUGGAUGCCUGAGGACGUGCUGCAGAGAAUCAGCCUGCAGCCUGACCUCCUGAGCUAGCAAAGCUCCCCACCAUCACACCCACUCCACUGCUGGAUGCCAGAAGCAGAGAGAGGACCACCACACAUCCUAGUCCACAGACAGAUUUCACAUGCGGACAGCUCAUCUCCGCUUGGAGAACUUUGGGAUCUUGUCGACCUUAGAGAGUGGUUGAUGCAACACUUUUCUCUGGUCUGGUCUUUUGGUCACCCAAUUGUGCUGAAGAAAAAAAAUAUUUACAGAACCACAAUGACUUAAAACCUGAAUCAGACGUGUUAAACAGAUUUCUUAGUCGUUGACAGAUCAGAGAAUUAAGGAGCAUGUGUGGGUUUUAUCACACAGUGCUAGAUACAUUUUAGCAAUAACAGAGGAAUCAGUCAAUCACAGAGGAAUAUUCUAAUGAUUGGGGACAAAUUGAUGAAUUCAUUAAAGAUCCAUAGUUAUCA